UACGUAGGGGGCUAGCGUUGCUCGGAAUCACUGGGCGUAAAGCGCACGUAGGCGGCUUUCUAAGUCAGGGGUGAAAUCCUGGAGCUCAACUCCAGAACUGCCUUUGAUACUGGGGAGCUCGAGUCCGGAAGAGGUGAGUGGAACUCCGAGUGUAGAGGUGAAAUUCGUAGAUAUUCGGAAGAACACCAGUGGCGAAGGCGGCUCACUGGUCCGGUACUGACGCUGAGGUGCGAAAGCGUGGGGAGCAAACAGG
rnacentral:rRNA from 1 species